rnacentral:rRNA from 1 species
CCUUUGUACACACCGCCCGUCGCUACUACCGAUUGAAUGGCUUAGUGAGGUCUCCGGAUCGGCGGCAGGGAGCCGGCAACGGCACCCAGUUGCUGAGAAGCUGAUCAAACUUGGUCAUUUAGAGG